AGCUGCUGGAGAUCCUGGGGUGGUUCUGGCCCUGGAGCAGUUCAGCAAGCUGAAGCCCUCUUUAGGAAGCAAGGACAUGUAUGACAUGCUGGCUCUGUGCUGCAAGAACAUUGUGACCCACCCUUCAGCGGAGAUGAUGCAGAAGAUCAGGAAGUCACAGCAAGCAGCUCAGUACCUGCAGCUUCAGCAAACAUCAUUGAAAGCUCUGGGCCGGCUCAUGGGGGUUCUGCUGGAGACAGAGCCCAGCCGUGGCUUCUUCCAG